AACCGCGGCUAUACGAGAGGCCCAAGUUGACAGAUUCCGGCAUAAAGCGUGGUUAAGAUAAACUAAAAACUAAAGCCGAACGCCCUCCGGGCUGUUAUACGCUCCCGAAGGUAAGAAGCCCAAUUACGAAAGUAGCUUUACAUUACUGAACCCACGAAAGCUAGGGCA
rnacentral:rRNA from 1 species